GUCGUGGCCCAGUGGUAAAGUGCCCGCCUCGACUGCGGGAGGUCGCGGGUUCGAUUCUCGCUGCCGCCGGGCACCCACCGGUUCGCCGCAAUGGGUACAAGCGUCCCCCGGCCUGGCACUUGGCUUUCUCAGGGGGUUGAUAAAGCUUGGGAAAGGAGCCCGCGCCCUGAAGGCCCGUCGAAAGACUCGCGAGCCAAAACUGUUGACCCCACUCCGGGGGUGAGUGGGGAAAGGGUCGAGUGCGGACCCACGUGUCGCUCUGAGGUGGGGGACAAGGCGCGACGACGACGAAGUCACAGACGUGUGCACGGUCGAGUGGGACCCACAAACGUGUAGCUUCGCAGACGUGCGCGGAAGAUGACGUGCCCUGCAGGCGGCACAAGCUGUAAGACGAAAGAGCAGCGUGGGCGCGGUACCAGCUCGCGAUGCCGCGUGACCUGGCUCACAAACGCAUGGGCGGUGUGCUUGUGACGGGUAGCACACCCUGGGGCUCCUUUU